GAAAAAANAAGGAAGAAGNGGNAAUUUCCCACNGUGNAANCCGGUGAAAAUGGGUAANAAGAUGUGGGANGGANCCCCCAGUGGGNGAANGGCGACUCUUCUUGGUCUGGUAAACUUGNCCGCUAAGGAGCGAAAAGGGUGGGGAGCGAACAAGGAAUUAGAUACCCUGGUAGUCCNACCCCCGGUAAACGAUGAGUGNUAAGUGUUAGGGGGGUUUUCCGCCCCUUAGUGCUGCAGNUAACGCAUUAAGCACUCCGCCUGGGGAGUACGGUUGCAAGACUGAAACUCAAAGGAAUUGACGGGGGCCCGCACAAGCGGGUGGAGCAUGUGGUUUAAUUCGAAGCAACGCGAAGAACCUUACCAGGUCUUGACAUCNCUNUGACAAUCCUAGAGAUAGGACGUCCCCUUCGGGGGCAGAGUGACAGGUGGUGCAUGGUUGUCGUCAGCUCGUGUCGUGAGAUGUUGGGUUAAGUCCCNCAACGAGCGGCAACCCUUGAUCUUAGUUGCCAGCNUUCAGUUGGGCACUCUAAGGUGACUGCCGGUGACAANCCGGAGGAAGGUGGGGAUGACGUCAAAUCAUCAUGCCCCUUAUGACCUGGGNUACACNCGUGNUACAAUGGACAGAACAAAGGGCAGNGANNCCGCGAGGUUAAGCCAAUUCCACAAAUCUGUUCUCAGUUCGGAUCGCAGUCUGCAACUCGACUGCGUGAAGCUGGNAUCGCUAGUAUCGCGGUCACGGUNCCGCGGC
rnacentral:rRNA from 1 species